rnacentral:rRNA from 1 species
AACGAACGCUGGCGGCAUGCCUAACACAUGCAAGUCGAACGAGACCUUCGGGUCUAGUGGCGCACGGGUGCGUAACGCGUGGGAACCUGCCCUUAGGUUCGGAAUAACUCCCCGAAAGGGGUGCUAAUACCGGAUAAUGUCUUCGGACCAAAGAUUUAUCGCCUUUGGAUGGGCCCGCGUUGGAUUAGCUAGUUGGUAGGGUAAAAGCCUACCAAGGCGACGAUCCAUAGCUGGUCUGAGAGGAUGAUCAGCCACACUGGGACUGAGACACGGCCCAGACUCCUACGGGAGGCAGCAGUGGGGAAUAUUGGACAAUGGGCGAAAGCCUGAUCCAGCAAUGCCGCGUGAGUGAUGAAGGCCUUAGGGUUGUAAAGCUCUUUUACCCGGGAUGAUAAUGGCAGUACCGGGAGAAUAAGCUCCGGCUAACUCCGU